rnacentral:rRNA from 1 species
AGAGUUUGAUCAUGGCUCAGAUUGAACGCUGGCGGCAGGCCUAACACAUGCAAGUCGAGCGGUAGCACAGAGAGCUUGCUCUCGGGUGACGAGCGGCGGACGGGUGAGUAAUGUCUGGGAAACUGCCUGAUGGAGGGGGAUAACUACUGGAAACGGUAGCUAAUACCGCAUAACGUCGCAAGACCAAAGUGGGGGACCUUCGGGCCUCAUGCCAUCAGAUGUGCCCAGAUGGGAUUAGCUAGUAGGUGGGGUAACGGCUCACCUAGGCGACGAUCCCUAGCUGGUCUGAGAGGAUGACCAGCCACACUGGAACUGAGACACGGUCCAGACUCCUACGGGAGGCAGCAGUGGGGAAUAUUGCACAAUGGGCGCAAGCCUGAUGCAGCCAUGCCGCGUGUAUGAAGAAGGCCUUCGGGUUGUAAAGUACUUUCAGCGGGGAGGAAGGCGUUAAGGUUAAUAACCUUGACGAUUGACGUUACCCGCAGAAGAAGCACCGGCUAACUCCGUGCCAGCAGCCGCGGUAAUACGGAGGGUGCAAGCGUUAAUCGGAAUUACUGGGCGUAAAGCGCACGCAGGCGGUCUGUCAAGUCGGAUGUGAAAUCCCCGGGCUCAACCUGGGAACUGCAUUCGAAACUGGCAGGCUAGAGUCUUGUAGAGGGGGGUAGAAUUCCAGGUGUAGCGGUGAAAUGCGUAGAGAUCUGGAGGAAUACCGGUGGCGAAGGCGGCCCCCUGGACAAAGACUGACGCUCAGGUGCGAAAGCGUGGGGAGCAAACAGGAUUAGAUACCCUGGUAGUCCACGCCGUAAACGAUGUCGAUUUGGAGGUUGUGCCCUUGAGGCGUGGCUUCCGGAGCUAACGCGUUAAAUCGACCGCCUGGGGAGUACGGCCGCAAGGUUAAAACUCAAAUGAAUUGACGGGGGCCCGCACAAGCGGUGGAGCAUGUGGUUUAAUUCGAUGCAACGCGAAGAACCUUACCUGGUCUUGACAUCCACAGAACUUAGCAGAGAUGCUUUGGUGCCUUCGGGAACUGUGAGACAGGUGCUGCAUGGCUGUCGUCAGCUCGUGUUGUGAAAUGUUGGGUUAAGUCCCGCAACGAGCGCAACCCUUAUCCUUUGUUGCCAGCGGUUAGGCCGGGAACUCAAAGGAGACUGCCAGUGAUAAACUGGAGGAAGGUGGGGAUGACGUCAAGUCAUCAUGGCCCUUACGACCAGGGCUACACACGUGCUACAAUGGCAUAUACAAAGAGAAGCGACCUCGCGAGAGCAAGCGGACCUCAUAAAGUAUGUCGUAGUCCGGAUUGGAGUCUGCAACUCGACUCCAUGAAGUCGGAAUCGCUAGUAAUCGUAGAUCAGAAUGCUACGGUGAAUACGUUCCCGGGCCUUGUACACACCGCCCGUCACACCAUGGGAGUGGGUUGCAAAAGAAGUAGGUAGCUUAACCUUCGGGAGGGCGCUUACCACUUUGUGAUUCAUGACUGGGGUGAAGUCGUAACAAGGUAACCGUAGGGGAACCUGCGGUUGGAUCACCU